GAUGAAGAACGUAGCGAAAUGCGAUAAGUAAUGUGAAUUGCAGAAUUCAGUGAAUCAUCGAAUCUUUGAACGCACCUUGCACCCUUUGGACUGCUCCAAAGGGUAUGCUCGUUUGAGUGUCAUUGUACUCUCACACUCUCUGAUCCUUUGGAUUUGGGGAGCAGUGGACUUGGGUGCUUGCUGCUUCCUUGUGGCUCACCUGAAAUGCAUCAGUGCAUCUCUCGAUUGGACAUAGUACGGCGUGAUAAGUGUCUUCGCCGGCACCUCAUAUGAGGGUGGCCGAUCGGGAGCUCUGUGCUUUCAAACCGUCUUCGGACAACGCUGACAACUUGACCUCAAAUCGAGUAGGACUACCCGCUGAACUUAAGCAUAUCAAUAAGCGGAGG
rnacentral:misc_RNA from 1 species